UCUCCUUAGAGGACCACGGAUCCAACACUUCAGACUCGGCAGGCCUACUGGCUGUGCUAAAACUACUCAACCCUGCUGCUGUGGUGAGAAGACGGCUGCAAGGGCGCGGCUGCGUGCCAAUAAAGCUUUAUUUGCCAAAGACGCGGAGGGCCAGAUGUGGCCCUGGGCCGCAGUUUGCUGACUCUGGCUUAGCUCCUGGAAAUACCCACUUUAGAAAACAUACUCCACGUGCAUAAACGCACGUGUGCACACACGGAGGACAUGUUCCUUCCUGAUCCUUUUGGAACAAGUAUUUCCCUCUGCACCCGAGGGCCCUGAUGCUUGGUCUCCACAGACGUCGGCAAGGGGUGCUCGCUGGGGAGCCUCCUCAGCCUCUGGGUCAGCAGGACCCAGUCUGGCUGCUCCAACUGAGGUCAGCAAGAGGAGAAACAGAAACCCCUACUGGCGGCCAGAGGGAGGGGCCCAGGACCUCGGGUCUUCGACAGCCUCCUGGGAGCUCCGAGGAGGGACUUAAAGGGCCUGAGAAUCUGGAGGAGGACGCAACCCUAGGGGCUGCCAGGGAAAGAACAGGAAGCAGCCUGUGUCAACGUAACCCGAGGCGGGUGUUGAAAUCCAAAGAGGCGUCUCCUCAGUCUGAGGACACAUCGGGGGCCGUCAGCCGUUGACGGCAGCGAACAGCGCGGCAGAUAACCGACCUCUGUCUCCCGAGCCCUGGAGCUAAAGCCAGGCCUGUCCUGACAUCCCGGGCCAGAGGAGGCCAUCGGAUGCCUGCCGCUCACGUUUUCACAGACAGCGCACCCGGUACCAGACGGGGAGACAUUGGCCUGAA